CCUACGGGUGGCAGCAGUGAGGAAUAUUGGUCAAUGGACGAGAGUCUGAACCAGCCAAGUAGCGUGAAGGAUGACUGCCCUAUGGGUUGUAAACUUCUUUUAUAUGGGAAUAAAACGUUCCACGUGUGGGAUUUUGUAUGUACCAUAUGAAUAAGGAUCGGCUAACUCCGUGCCAGCAGCCGCGGUAAUACGGAGGAUCCGAGCGUUAUCCGGAUUUAUUGGGUUUAAAGGGAGCGUAGGUGGAUUGUUAAGUCAGUUGUGAAAGUUUGCGGCUCAACCGUAAAAUUGCAGUUGAAACUGGCAGUCUUGAGUACAGUAGAGGGGGGCGGAAUUCAUGGUGUAGCGGUGAAAUGCUUAGAGAUCACGAAGAACUCCGAUUGCGAAGGCAGUUCACUGGACUGCAACUGACACUGAGGCUCGAAAGUGUGGGUAUCAAACAGGAUUAGAUACCCCGGUAGUC
rnacentral:rRNA from 1 species